rnacentral:lncRNA from 1 species
AUGCUGGUGACAAUCAAACCACGAAACGACGCACGAUGUCAAGUGAUGGAGAACGGAGGGGAGAGGGGGAGAUGCUCCAUCUCGCCCGAGAGCAGAGCCCUGGGGAGCAGGAGGAGGUUGGGGACUCCUCCACACCAAGGGGGGACCCCAGGGCUGGCCCCCCACUUCCAGGGCAGAGCUGCGAGCCUGGAGGCCCCGGAGAUCGGCUGCUGCUGGGUCCUGCCAUCAGCUACAGCCCCACAGGGUGAGCUGCUCCUGGCAUCAGGCAGGGAUGCUGAGCCCAGCACGGGGGCAUCCCAGCAGCUCCGAGCUCGGACACAAGGAAUCGUUCCCUCAUCCCCCUUCUUGGUCCCACUCCCAUCCCCUUGGCAUCGGGGCCAGCCGCCCCAAAGGCCUCAGGGAGCAGGGAGGGGGGAAGGAACCAUCCCGGGGCCCCUCCACAGCUCCGGGGAAGGAGCCGGCUGGGUCCUCGGCGUGGGCACGGAGGCGGCGAGAUCCGCUCCCUCCCUCCGGCUGCCAAGGCCAAAUCCAUUCGCCACGUUUCGGUUCCCCAAGGCAAUCGGCUCCGGCCGGCGGAAGGGAGUUCCCAGGGCCGGAGACGGCGCCUUGGAGGCUCAGCCCAAGGUGGGAGGCCGGGGAUGUGCCGAGCCAAAGCCCAGAUCCUUGCAGACACUCUCCAUCCCCCCACCCGCAGCCGGCUCCCUCCUGCCCAGCGCUGGACCCAUGCCCGGAGGGCUGCGGGGCCCCGGGGGCUCCGGGCGGGAGGAGACGGACCGCCCCGCUACGAGGAUGGGCUCCCCCCGGCCUCCUCGCUCUGGCAGCUCCUCUCUUGGCUCUGGAGAGCUGGAAACCAGGAUCCCAGAACAUCUACAGAGGAGGCAAAGCCGCUGCCUGGCUCCUGGGAGCCUUCUCCACAGCGGCCAUCCCUGGGGAGGAGAGGGGGACCCAGACAGAUGGUACCCCCAAUCCUCCCCACGUCGGAGCUGGAGAUGCUCCUCCAGGAGCCAGGGAUAUGGGGCAGCCGGAGGGGGAGCGGAGCGGGAGCAGGGAUGA